rnacentral:rRNA from 1 species
UCGAGAAUCUUCGGCAAUGGGCGAAAGCCUGACCGAGCGACGCCGCGUGCGGGACGAAGGCCUUCGGGUUGUAAACCGCUGUCGGGAGGGAUGAAGUGCACGGGGGCUAUCCCCUGUGUUUGACAGAGCUCCGGAGGAAGCACGGGCUAAGUUCGUGCCAGCAGCCGCGGUAAUACGAACUGUGCGAACGUUAUUCGGAAUCACUGGGCUUAAAGGGUGCGUAGGCGGCGCUGUAAGUCAGGUGUGAAAUCCCCCGGCUCAACCGGGGAAUGGCGCUUGAAACUGCAGUGCUUGAGUGAGGUAGGGGUGCAUGGAACUUCCGGUGGAGCGGUGAAAUGUGUAGAUAUCGGAAGGAACGCCGGCGGCGAAAGCGGUGCACUGGGCCUUGUCUGACGCUGAGGCACGAAAGCUAGGGUAGCGAACG